rnacentral:rRNA from 1 species
AUGAACAGUGAACCUGUUGAGCUAUCUAUGAUGUGGAGAAAGAAGAAUCAGUUAAAACAUAAUAAAAAUAAUUUGCAAGGAUCAACAACCAAGCUUGUCCCAGUUGCAUGCUCAGUUCAGGAGUCCAGAUGCUCGGUAGGAUUCGACGCUGUCCCCCAGGGUCUUCUCUACAGGCCUGAAGACUUUUAUUGCAGGUGCAUUACAUAUGUACCGUCCGGACAUCUCUGGAUUCUCAUACGCCAGAAGAAUAGCAUCAGCAACAUCACGAACAUCCACUAUAUCCCUGCUUUUAUUUUCUACAGUAUCAUGUUCUCCUGCAAAAAGAUAAGUGUUUUAGUAAUACAGAAACAGAAUUAUAAUCCUAAACUAGUUUGGUGA